rnacentral:lncRNA from 1 species
CAACGCGUGGAUAUAAAGAACGUUGAUAAUAGAGCUCGUAUGCGAAAGAUAUGGACGAAGCUUAGUCCCUACUUUUCGAGCGCGGCGAAUUCGAUACAGUUUUGUAAAUCCGAGAUAGAAUGAGAAUUAGCUAACGAGGUCUAAAUGAAAGAUGAAGAUCUCAUUAAUAGGAACUCAACGGUAAAAAGACAGACAAAAACGGAGCUCGUAUGCGAAAGUUAUGGACGAAGCUUAGUCUCUACUUUUCGAGCGCGGCGAAUUCGAUACAGUUUUGUAAAUCCGAGAUAGAAUGAGAAUUAGCCAACGAGGUCUAAAUGAAAGUUGAAGAUCUCAUUAAUAGGAACUCAACGGUAAAAAGACAGACAAAAACGGAGCUCGUAUGCAAAAGUUACGGACGAAGCUUAGAGACUACUUUACUAUAAAACUCCUAUAAAUACAAGGGUGAACUCCUCAUAUUUUCUUCACACCAUAAGCCUCUCUUUCUCUCUCUAACUUCUCUCUAGCCUCCCUAAACCCCUCCCAAGUCUAGGGAACCUCCCUAUCACGAGAAGAAAGCCCCGGAGCGCCCGACGGCUCCGAGAAGAAAAGCUUUCGGCUCGGAAACGCUGCUCCAGCGAAGUCCGGUUUUUAAUAAAAACCCAUUGUAAGUGAGUUACGCCUAUACUAUAUUUAAUAUAGCUUUUAUUUAAUUAUAGUAACAUUAUUAGGACCUUAAAAUAAUUAUUUGGGCUAUUAUUAUGAGUUAUAUUGAGUGUUAUUUAACGCUUAUAUAAUAGUAAUAAUAGCUAGACUAUUAAUUAGUCGUGAUUAACGUUAAAACUAAACUCUAGUGGUAUUAAUACAAGGUUUGGUCAAGGAAAAAUUGUUUUAAGAAGUAACGAAGAGCUGUCCGAGUGCCGAGUCACCACCUUACCAGGUGAGUGCAUAGUUACUUUCAGCUUACACAUAGAUAUGAAGUAUUUUAUAUAAAUUACGUGCUAUGUGUGCAUAUUAUCUGAAUACUUGCUAUCUAUGCUGGAUGAACAUUGUUAUACAUGUUUUCAAUGAUUUAAACUGUAUAUGUAUUUUAUAUCUACGAAAAUGUUGGGGUAAAACAUGGGUAGAUGUAAUAGGUGAUGUGUGAUAAAAUGAUGAGAGGCCUCGAUGUUGAUGUUGUUGAUUCUGUCAUCUAGCGGAGUAUGGAUGACGACCACGGACUCUUCUAGACAGUCCAGUGGAACACUAGCAGGCUCGCAACCUGUAGGUGUUUGUGAACGAUGUGUUCACCGGUGUACUCCAUCCCCCACAUGGUUGCCUUUAGGACAUUUAUUGCUGAGGAAUCCCCUUAGCAGUAGUGUCCGUCCCGAUGAUGAUCCUUAGGCUAGGUC